rnacentral:rRNA from 1 species
UCGGGAAUAUUGCGCAAUGGAGGAAACUCUGACGCAGUGACGCCGCGUAUAGGAAGAAGGUCUUCGGAUUGUAAACUAUUGUCGUUAGGGAAGAAAAAGGACAGUACCUAAGGAGGAAGCUCCGGCUAACUACGUGCCAGCAGCCGCGGUAAUACGUAGGGAGCAAGCGUUAUCCGGAUUUAUUGGGUGUAAAGGGUGCGUAGACGGGAUAAUAAGUUAGUUGUGAAAUCCCUCGGCUCAACUGAGGAACUGCAACUAAAACUGUUAUUCUUGAGUGUUGGAGAGGAAAGCGGAAUUCCUAGU